AUUGAACGCUGGCGGCAGGCUUAACACAUGCAAGUCGAGCGGAGACUUCGGUCUUAGCGGCGAACGGGUGAGUAAUACCUAGGAAUCUGCCUAUUAGUGGGGGAUAACGGCUCGAAAGGGUCGCUAAUACCGCAUACGUCCUACGGGAGAAAGUGGGGGAUCUUCGGACCUCACGCUAAUAGAUGAGCCUAGGCCGGAUUAGCUAGUUGGUAGGGUAAAGGCCUACCAAGGCGACGAUCCGUAGCUGGUCUGAGAGGAUGAUCAGCCACACUGGAACUGAGACACGGUCCAGACUCCUACGGGAGGCAGCAGUGGGGAAUAUUGGACAAUGGGCGCAAGCCUGAUCCAGCCAUGCCGCGUGUGUGAAGAAGGCCUCGGUGUAAGCACUUAAGUACGAGGAGGGAAGGGUACGUUUGGAACUUAAUAAUUUCUAAAGAAUUAGACGUUACU
rnacentral:rRNA from 1 species